AUACGAAGGGUGCAAGCGUUACUCGGAAUUACUGGGCGUAAAGCGUGCGUAGGUGGUUGUUUAAGUCUGUCGUGAAAGCCCUGGGCUCAACCUGGGAAUGGCGAUGGAAACUGGGCGACUAGAGUGUGGCAGAGGGUAGUGGAAUUCCUGGUGUAGCAGUGAAAUGCGUAGAGAUCAGGAGGAACAUCCGUGGCGAAGGCGACUGCCUGGGCCAACACCGACACUGAGGCACGAAAGCGUGGGGAGCAAACAGGAUUAGAUACCCUGGUAGUCCACGCCCUAAACGAUGCGAACUGGAUGUUGGGUGCAAUUUGGCACGCAGUAUCGAAGCUAACGCGUUAAGUUCGCCGCCUGGGGAGUACGGUCGCAAGACUGAAACUCAAAUGAAUUGGCGGGG
rnacentral:rRNA from 1 species